GAAAUUGGACAAUGACGUCAGAAAGAGUGCAUUAAGAUCCCAAGAGCAGAUGUAUUGUUAAGACAGUACAAUCAGUUAGGUGUUUUCUCGAGGCUACAAGUGAGAGAAAAAUGCCACUAUAUGGAAUUACUGCAUUACUAAAGUACGAUAUGUAAUAAUUCGAGCAAAACGUAUGAUUCAAAUGACUGCUGAUAGUUCUAAGGGUUGUGUCCUCAGUGAUUUGGGAGGGUCUGGGAGGAGGCCGUAAGAGGGGGGGUGUUCUGGAUACAGAGUGGGCGAGUUUUGAUGUCAUUUGACGAGAACGUUUUGUGGAAAACUGCAACCCCUCCGUCUUUGAAGUCUCAGGGUUAUUACUCUAUCAUGAGCAAUACAACGUAAGCAGGCUCUGAUUGGUUGGAAGCGUUUGUCUGGCAAAUGCAAAGAAUCGAGGACGUGGAAUUUUGAAUUUGACUCAACUUUGACGUUCUUUAUGACCAGGAAAAGAUAUAAUUGGUCUAGAUCUGCGUUAAGGCCAAGACUAGAUUGUAGACUUGAGAAAACUUUAACCUUCAAGGGAAUUUAGAAAGGGUUGGCGAGUUUUCGGGAGAUCGGGUCAGCAGGUGGUUGAGAAGCAAUAACCAGAAAGAGGGGAAAAAGGUGUUUCCUUUAAAUUUUUUUUUCAGUACAUUAUACAUAUCAAUCAAAUUUAAUUAGAAUUUUGAGAAGUCGAGUCAAAGUGGAAAAUUUCAGUUAAAUAUUUGAAGGUGCAAUGCGUGGUAUUGAACUGGUAUUGAAAAAUUUUGUGGACUGAAGCACUAUUUGUUUUGACUUGUCAGGUAUCGACUCAUAUUUUCGAGGUAUCCGCGGUAAGAUAAUGUAGGAAAUGGCCAGAAGGGAAGCCAAAUCGGAUAAGUUAGGGAAACAUCCCUUUGCCAGAACACCAACCAGUAGGGUCCGUAUAAUGGGCUGUUGCCUCUUGUCUCUGCUCGUGCAGCAGAGAUGAAUUUCGUUGCCAGCGUAUCCGAACGUUCCAUCGUCAUUAUUUCUUCAUUUAACGAGGAAGAUGGCAUUCUAAUAUUGCACUGACAGAUGUUCAAGUUCUCGACGAGAAUGUCCAACGUCUGAUGAUGAUCGGGUGUGGAGAAGUGUUUACCAAGGGCAGAGAAUCUUCAUAGAAGCUUAAGCACCAUAUACAUCGUUUCUCUUGCCUAUCAAAUCUUUGACUCUCAGAUGGAGAAUUUGAACAGUUAUCAACAGAAUCACCGAGGUACGUUUACAGAUAAAGAAGACGGUACAACGGUACAACUCCCUUAGACCUAGUUAGUAAGGUGACGAAUAUCUCAAUAUUUUUUUUCAUGAUAGUUCCUGCUGGACACGUAGCAUGCAACAGAGAUCUUCAGCUAUGACUGGACCCCUAGCUUUCAGUCUGAUAGCACUAAAAUGUGACGAAGCGCCACUUGUCUGCUAUGGUGAAAACGCUCCUAUCAAGCACUCCUGCUGUGCCUGCAGUAUAUUCUCAACCUACGCCUUUAUAAACUCGUACGAACGAGAAGCUGAAGGAAGCUCUGUGGUCAUUUUAUGUUGUGCUGACAGCAAUGUUCGUAAGAGAAAGAGAGAGAGAGAGAGAGAGAGUUGAAAGGCAAUUUUGGGCCAAUAAAUCAAGGCUUGAAGAAAAAUCAGAUUGUUCCACCAAGGCUUUCCAUAGCGUCGUUGUUAUGUUUUUUUUUUUAAUAUCUAGCGUUUUCCUUGUAAUGUAUUUGUGUCAGAUUUUUCAUUAUCACAAGAUCAGAAAAGCAUUUUUUGUACUGUAAACUAAAACUUGCAAUGAAGAGUCAUUACAAAGCUCUGAGGGGUCCGUUUAGUAGCUCCUCCCUCUUGCCAUUAGUAGAAAAUUAAGAAAAUUCUUGUUUUGGUUCGUUCAAUCUGUAACGAUAUCCUGCUGACAGCAUCUUCCUUCAUUUUGCCAACAGCGUGAAGGAAAUAAUAAACACGUUUCCCGCCGCUGUUUUUCAUCACCCCACCCAGAUUAAUUGGCGCUACCCGUACCACUCAGCCUCGCGGUCACGCUGUUUUGGUAAUAGCGAAGACAAUCGAAGCACCACCAUCCUAACGAAGCUCUCGGUGCGUGCGUUUCACUUGGAAGGAUUUCUGUUUGUGAGAGAUUUAAAGAAACAAAAAAAUAAAGCUAGUGCGGGUUUAAGCUUGGCAGUUUAGACAAACCCAUCCUGUUGUCUUAAUCCCUUCAUUGCCCACUGUGUUUUUAACAAGAACUUGUCUCUUUUUAUUCAAAAAAAAGAAACGAGCUGGUCACAACGUGUCUAGUCUAUAAGUCGAUGGUUGUGUUAUGUGGAAUUCAUUCUCCAAACUCUUUAAAUGAGGUUAUUCUCUUACUCGAAAAUCGGAGAGUAAUUGCUGUCUAAAACCACAUCCUUGCACCUCACCUGUCCCGAAGAACCUUCUGGACCGAUAGAAUUAACUCCAAGGUACUCUUUCCUUGCUUAGUUUUGCAUAUCGACAGAAUACACUCAUUUUGCUGUCAUUUGGGCUUUACAUCACGUUUCCUAGUUUUUGAAACGUCCCAAAAUACUGCUUAAAGGUCUAGAAAUAUUGGUUACUACAAUUUGAAGAGCUCGUUUGUGUUGUAUAUGCACCUUUCUUCGAGAAAGCUAAAACCCUGAGGGUAUAUUAAUCUGAUAUAGCUUUGUUGUUGAGCGUUUUUAACCCCAAACACCGAUUUUCACAGCCUAACUCCUAGGUAACAUAGUCUUAUGCAUAGUUGUCUCUAUGGCAAACAACUAGCUCGUAGCUCCAUAAAAAGCGAUCUUGACUGAAUGUAACUCAUUACUUGUAAUUCAAAGCUAAAGAGCUCGUAAUUACGAACUCGCUGAUAUGGUGGAAUAUUAUUUGCAUGUAUGUCGCUUUCUUUCAUCCAUUCUGAAUAAAAUUGUUUUAUUUCGGAUCUUAUCUUAAAUGUUCAUUAUCUUUUGAUUGUUGGUAAAACGUGUACGACGUAUUUGGUUUUUCUAAGUGAUAACAUUUUCCAGAAACGUACUUUCUGGUGAAACUAAAACUGUUUGGCAGAUUCAUCUCGCAGUCCAUAUAGUUUCCUGCGGGUAUGCUAGAUUAUAAAAUAACGCAUAAAAAAUGCGUUGGGUUGUGACUAGUUUCACAGUUUGUUUAGCAUAUAAACCAGAGGAUGAAUCAGUGAAGAGGGUUUGUUGAACUGACACAGAGAAAAUUAAAAAGUGUAGCAUUUA